rnacentral:rRNA from 1 species
GUGGGGAAUCUUGCGCAAUGGGCGAAGGCCUGACGCAGCCAUGCCGCGUGAAUGAUGAAGGUCUUAGGAUUGUAAAAUUCUUUCACCGGGGACGAUAAUGACGGUACCCGGAGAAGAAGCUCCGGCUAACUUCGUGCCAGCAGCCGCGGUAAUACGAAGGGGGCUAGCGUUGCUCGGAAUUACUGGGCGUAAAGGGCGCGUAGGCGGACAGCUUAGUCAGAGGUGAAAGCCCAGGGCUCAACCUUGGAAUUGCCUUUGAUACUGGCUGUCUUGAGUUUGGGAGAGGUGAGUGGAACUCCGAGUGUAGAGGUGAAAUUCGUAGAUAUUCGGAAGAACACCAGUGGCGAAGGCGACUCACUGGCCCAAUACUGACGCUGAGGCGUGAAAGCGUGGGGAGCAAACAGGAUUAGAUACCCUAGUAGUCC